rnacentral:rRNA from 3 species
GGACUACCGGGGUAUCUAAUCCCGUUCGCUCCCCUGGCUUUCGUGCCUCAGCGUCAGUUGAGACCCAGUGUGUCGCUUUCGCCACCGGCGUUCCUUCCGAUAUCAACACAUUUCACCGCUCCACCGGAAGUUCCACACACCUCUAUCUCACUCGAGCCAUCCAGUUUAGGGCGCAGUUCCCCGGUUGAGCCGGGGGCUUUCACACCCUACUUAAAUGGCCGCCUACGCACCCUUUAAGCCCAGUGAUUCCGAAUAACGUUUGCACAGUUCGUAUUACCGCGGCGGCUGGCAC